UUCUAGCUUCAAGGCUACUUUCCAUGAAUGUUACUGUUGUUUCUGCUACCGGGUAUCCUGAUGCAACUCCUUUCCUUUAGAGCAACACAAAUAUAAUAACUCCAGGACCAAAAGGAAAAAUACGCUGGACAAAGUUCAGGGUUUUCCACCUGUGCUUACUGCUCAAACAUUACAAACUAAUCCCACAACAUUAAGUGAGAAUGUUCUGGAUGGCAACUUAUCCAUGGGGUCCAACAGAUUCUAAGAAAAAACCAAAGUGAGAAUUGAAAGGCUGCAAAGCAAGAAAUGUGCAGCUGGUUUCUGGCAUCUAUAGCCUGAUAGCUGUUAGACAUACUGGGAGUGUAAGAGGAAAUCUAACCGCUAAUGAAGGUUAAACUAUUUCAUCCCAUAUUUUUAUAUAAUGUAUCUAAAACUCCAUUUUGAGUUAAGGUGGGACUGACCAAAUGGUGCAAAUGAGAUGUUAAAUAAAGGUUAGAUGGUGUAAAUCCCUGGGGAUGCAACUAUAUUUAUAUUGCAUUGUGCACAGUACGGUGAUUCAUGGUAAAUGGAACCUGCAAACAAGAGCAAAACUUGUAAUAACACAAUAGAAUACAAUAGGAUAGGGAAGGUAUGAUUGUUGAUCCAGCAUUAUUUUAAAAAAUGCUUUUCUCAUUCAGAAUAUCAUUUACAGGCAUCUAGUACUUAAAAAUAAGUUUGACCCUUCUUGCUCCAUAGUUUAAAAAAAA